AGAGUGAACGCUGGCGGCAGGCCUAACACAUGCAAGUCGAACGGCAGCACAAGGGAGCUUGCUCCCUGGGUGGCGAGUGGCGGACGGGUGAGGAAUACGUCGGAAUCUGCCUAUUUGUGGGGGAUAGCGUAGGGAAACUUACGCUAAUACCGCAUACGACCCCAUGCCGAGAGGUGCGGGGUGAAAGCGGAGGACCUUCGGGCUUCGCGCAGAUAGAUGAGCCGACGUCGGAUUAGCUUGUUGGCGGGGUAACGGCCACCAAGGCGACGAUCCGUAGCUGGUCUGAGAGGAUGAUCAGCCACACUGGAACUGAGACACGGUCCAGACUCCUACGGGAGCAGCAGUGGGGAAUAUUGGACAAGUGGGCGCAAGCCUGAUCCAGCCAUGCCGCGUGUGUAGAAGAGGUCCUUGGUUGUAAGCUACUUUAGUACCGAAAGUAAAGACGUUACGGUUAAUACCCGUAGGACGUCCGUAGACGGUAACCGGAAGUAAC
rnacentral:rRNA from 1 species